rnacentral:rRNA from 1 species
CCUACGGGCGGCAGCAGUGAGGAAUAUUGGUCAAUGGACGAGAGUCUGAACCAGCCAAGUAGCGUGAAGGAUGACUGCCCUAAGGGUUGUAAACUUCUUUUAUAUGGGAAUAAAACAGGGUAUGCAUACCCUCUUGUAUGUACCAUAUGAAUAAGGAUCGGCUAACUCCGUGCCAGCAGCCGCGGUAAUACGGAGGAUCCGAGCGUUAUCCGGAUUUAUUGGGUUUAACGGGAGCGUAGGUGGAGUGUUAAGUCAGUUGUGAAAGGUUGCGGCUUAACCGUAAAAUUGCAGUUGAAACUGGCAGUCUUGAGUACACGAGAGGUGGGCGGAAUGCGUGGUGUAGCGGUGAAAUGCGUAGAUAUCGCGAAGAACUCCGAUUGCGAAGGCAGCAUACUGGACUGCAACUGACACUGAUGCUCGAAAGUGUGGGUAUCAAACAGGAUUAGAUACCCCAGUAGUC